UUUUAAAUAAGAUUAAUUUAUAUAUAAUAAUAAAAAUGACAUAACAUACUAUGCUAAUCAGGAUAAUAUUGAAAAAUAAUAAAAACCAAAUGAGUUUCCAACCGCAAGUGGAAUUAUGCAUGGAGGGGUUAUAUUGGAGACAACAAUUUCUCAUCAGGAAAUGAUUAAUUAGUAUAUGUUUAUUACAUAAAUAUGUGAAUUAUGCACUAAUCUAAGGGCAAACCCCAUAAUCAAUCUUGUUUCAAGCUAGUUGGUUCUUGCCAAAAUCUGGCUGGUAAUCCUUGCUGGGGCACUGGAAAUGGGCCAUAAUGAAUCCCAUCCACUGAUCCCACCACUUCCCACCUGAAUUUGGUUACUAGAUGAUGGACCAAGAUGAGUAUUUCCAGCUUGGCGAGUUCAUUGCCAGGACAAGCAUGAACUCCAUUGCCAAAUGGAAUGAAGGUAUUGGGUUUUGGAGAAACCUGCAUUCCACCAUUCACCCACAAACCAGAAUAAAAUCUUGUGCCCUUUAGUGAACUAUGGCUUACAAACACCUGUGUGAGAGAUAAUUAAAGAAAGAUUCUUUUUUUUUUUCUUUGCAUACCUCAAACCUUGAUGGGUCAAAAAUGUGAGGAUCAGGAAAGAAUUCUAGAUUGUGAUGAAUGUUCCUGAACAGUGGCAUCACCUUCCAUCCUUUUGGUAUUAGGUAUCCCUUAUAUUCAACAUCAAUUAUUGCUUCCCUGAAGACGAAAGAUAUAAUGCUUGCCAUUCUU
rnacentral:misc_RNA from 1 species